rnacentral:rRNA from 1 species
UACGGGGGGGGCAAGCGUUGUUCGGAAUUACUGGGCGUAAAGGGCUCGUAGGUGGCCAACUAAGUCAUACGUGAAAUCCCUCGGCUUAACCGGGGAACUGCGCCUGAUACUGGUUGGCUUGAGUUUGGGAGAGGGACGCGGAAUUCCAGGUGCAGCGGUGAAAUGCGUAGAUAUCUGGAGGAACACCGGUGGCGAAGGCGGCGUCCUGGACCAAUACUGACACUGAGGAGCGAAAGCCAGGGGAGCAAACGGG